UUUCCCCCCGUUGUAUUUUUCGGCCGCCAAGGGGCCCCUCCUGAGAAAAAAAACCCACAAGGGGGGAGGAAAAUUUUCCAAUUUUUACCAUUUUUCUUAAUUUUGGUUCCCCAUUUUUUCCGCAGACCAAGGUUUUCCCAAAAGUUUUUGUAGCCCUUUAUGUUGAAUUGAAAUAAAAGUAAGAUAAAGGGAAGUUUGGCAAAAAUUAGAUUCCCCUUCCUUUUGGAAAUUAAAGAAUUGGCUUCUUAAAGACCCGGUUUUUGAACCGAGGUUUUUCCAAAUGAAGGUUUGGGUGGAUGGCCGCUUUUGAUUGGGUUGGGCUUUUGGGGUUGGGCUUGAUCUAAUGGGCGUCGUUGCCUUGGUGGACUUGCCCUUGUUGCGUGCUGGCGUUUUCGGCGUCAGUACUUCGUUCGACACUUAACGUUUGACUUAGAACUGGUACGGACUCGGGGAAUCCGACUGUCUAAUUAAAACAGAGGAGAUAGAUGGUCCUUGCGGACGUUGACUAUCUCUGAUUUCUGCCCAGUGCUCUGAAUGUUAACGUGGAGUAAUCUGCAUAAGCGCGGGUAAACGGCGGGAGUAACUAUGACUCUCUUAAGGUAGCCAAAUGCCUCGUCAUCUAAUUAGUGACGCGCAUGAAUGGAUUAACGAGAUUCCCACUGUCCCUAUCUACUAUCUAGCGAAACCACAGCCAAGGGAACGGGCUUGGAAAAAACAGCGGGGAAAGAAGACCCUGUUGAGUUUGACUCUAGUUUGACUCUGUGACGAGUCUUGAGAGACGUAGUAUAAGUGGGAGACUUCGGUCGCAAUUGAAAUACCACUACUUUCAUCGAUUCUUUACUUAUUCGGUAAUGCGGGGAUUGGAGCUCGUUCUCCUUCCUUCUGGUGUUAAGCGUCGGCUCUCGGAGCUUUCGCGACCCGGACCGAAGACAGUGUCAGGCCGGGAGUUUGACUGGGGCGGUACAUCUAUCAAAACGUAACGUAGGUGUCCUAAGGUGUGCUCAGAGGGGACGGAAACCUCUCGUAGAGCAAAAGGGCAAAAGCCCACUUGAUCUUGAUUUUCAGUACUAAUACAGACCGCGAAAGCGUGGCCUAUCGAUCCUUAAAACCUUGAUGGUUUCAAGUUUGAGGUGUCAGAAAAAUUACCACAGGGAUAACUGGCUUGUGGCAGCCAAGCGUCCAUAGCGACGUUGCUUUUUGAUCCUUCGAUGUCGGCUCUUCCUAUCAUUGCGAAGCAGAAUUCGAGCUCGGUACCCGGGGAUCCUCUAGAGUCGACCUGCAGGCAUGCAAGCUUGAGUAUUCUAUAGUCACCAAAAUUU
rnacentral:rRNA from 1 species